AAAUAUACAGUCACCUCCACAAUUUGGCUAAAUGGUCUGUUAGCAUAAUUCGUGCCAGAAUAUAUCUAAAGAAGAUCCAACUUAUACGUACUAUUAUAAUAUUAAGAUAUAUGAUCAUCUCCAAUGCAGUUGCAAAAGCCAAUGUUAAUGUGUUUAUGCCAAUUAUACAACUUGGCCAAGAGUAAAGAAAAGCAUUAUUAAAAUAAAAAUAUACGUAUCAACAAAACAGUUGAUAAAAUUACUACAAUUAAGAUUUAUUUACUUAAGAGGAAAUAGUGCGGAGUACACAUCCGAUCCAUCACUCACACAUGAGAAAUAGUGCCACCCAAGUCCCGCACGCUGAUACUGUCGGAUCUGGACGUCAACACACCUCCCUNCUAUCACUAGAAGGGUGUAUAUGCACCUUUUCCCUAUUAUUAAUCGACGAUUCGCUUAUCUAUUUAUAGUUACCAACUGUAAACGAAGUUCUUAAGAAUUUAUCUUUGAUCGAACAACUAGCAUAUAAUAUUAGCCCACAUUUGAUUGGGUGUUUUUAGAGGUUGGAAAGGGAUUCAAUUAGUUGAAUCCAUUACUUAUUGUUUGGUUUGGAUAAUUAGGUAAUCAUUACCCUUACUUGAGAGUAACUCAAUCACCCAAUUUAUUACAUCUCAAAAUAGAGGGGAAACAAAAGAAAUUAAAUCACUUACUAAUGAUUCUUUUUCAUUAUUAAAUCAAACAUUCAAUAUAAGUAAUGAUUAUUGUUACCAUUUCACUCAUUUAUUUAAUUAUAUUCUUUUUUCAUUCAUUUAUUUGAACCAAACGAGCACUCAAUUGAUUCAAUUUUUUGAGCUUAAUUCCUACUCUUCUUUGCCCAAAUGAAAGCGCUAUGCUUAUCGUUCCUGUAAAUUUAGGAGAAGUUUAUUAUUUAAACGUUUUUGUUUUAUUCCUUUAAAAAUAUCAAUUUUGUUUUAUUCAAUUCGUGGGCUUUAAAAGUGUUAAAAGAAAUUAAAGAGAAAAACGACGCCAUAAUUGUUGGUCAGCAAUUCGUCAUCUUACAAAUGAGCGACCGCCACGUAGGGCAAAACCAAAUUGACGCCGCCACAGCCACUUCCGUAUUGUCCAAUAAAUUUGAACCCACAUUAAUUAAACCCAAAUUAUUCCAAUACUUUAUUGAAUAGUAUCAUAGAAUAUACAUAUGAGGCUGAAACCCCUACGUUAAAGUGAUACUAAAAAUUAUAGUUUCAGGACUCACUAAAGUUUCUUUUUGAAAGUUGCUUUGUUGAUUCACCUUUAACUUCACCGCACUGUGUAAUAAUAUCAGAAUCAAAGCAGCGACCCUAUCUAUUUUUAGUAUUCAAUAUAUAUUGUUGAAACAUAAUAAUUGAUCCGCCAUCUACUACAAUUUUGGAUAAGUUUUCAAACUUCAUAAUAAUUAUUAACAAAUUUAAUGCUGAUGGUGGUAUAUAUAUCUGUUUUGGAUCAUAAAGCGAUGCAUAUCUUUAAUUUUACUUGUCAUUUGCCAAGAUUCCGGUCCAAAAUACAAUUUGGCUAAAUGGUAUGCAACCUCUUAACUUGGCCAAGAGUAAAGAAAAGCUUGUAGAAGUAGCAUUAUUAAAAUAUAAAUAGACGUAAUUACAAUCAAAAAACAGUCGAUAAAAUUACUACAAGAUUUAUUUACUCGAGGAAAUAGGUACUCAUCCAUCAACUAAAAACGAAAACACACUGAUCACUCAUACAUGAGAAAUUAAAUAAAAAAGGAGGUAGGGAUACAUGCAUAUAUAAUCAUGUGAAAAAUAAACUUAUUUUGCACAUAAUUACUAACGAUUAGCCGCAGAAUAUCCGGUCCAAUCAGCUACGAUGUUCUUGAGCACUUCUCCCCUCUGACUAGGCAGAUUCUUCCAAUUAGCUCCGCCCCCCGGCGGCGGCUUUCUCGGUUGAGUGCCGCCGUUGACGGGGGGCGGAGGGUUUUGCUGAGCGGCUCCUCCCCUAGUGUUUUGCCCAUUCUCACUCAUAUUUCCCACUCAAAGGCGAGUUGAUGAAUUUUGUUGUGGGGAAAUAUGUAUAUAUAUAUAGAAGAGGGGGUGGUUAUGAUUCUAUGUGGAGCAUUCCCCAGUAGUUAAGCACGCUUGCUGUGAGAUGCAAUUAGGUGUCGCCACGUUCACUUUUCA
rnacentral:lncRNA from 1 species